AGUCCCGGCUAGGGACACAGCUCUUAGACUUUGAGCUAGACAACCAGGAGGACAGGAGGACCUAGUAUCCUGCCUCCAUCAGCCCAUCAUUUAUGCAAAUGCUACUUAGUUGCCGUCUAGAUGCAGGAUGCUGUCUGCCCUGUUAAAUGCUGUGUGAACCCAGAUGGAAGCUGAGCAGACAUCACACUCGUGAGCAGCUCCCCUUCCUGUGAGCAUCUCCCCUUCCUAUGCUGAGAUUAAAGGCAUGUGCCAUCACCACCUGAACAACAGCAGCUUUCUAAGGAACCAGUAAGGCACUACAGACUUUUCAUAUAACAUCACCUUCAUUCUCUCACAACUAAUUCUACAAAACAGAUGUUAUACGACCUCGUUCGCUGAAGUCAAAGAUGCAGAGGGGCCAAGGUGUGGGCUCCGGACCUCACACCAGUGUGGCAGAUUCAACAAGCCCAGAAUAAGCCUCUUCCUUUGCUCACAAUAAGAUUAAGCCAACUGCCUCUUCAUUCCUCAGUCACACUCCUCCUCUGACCCUGCUCCAGGAGGCUCAUCUUGUCAGACUUCACACUGAAUGAGCGCUGAGGAUGCUGUAGAGUAUGAGCUGUGUGCAGGUUUCAAAAGCAAUUUGUGCCCCUGAAACAAGCCAACCAGCAGAGAAGGAACAAAAGAAACAUGGUGUCUUCUACCUCCAGCCUUGAAGCUUCCAGACCUCCCUACACGAACCCCCCCCCCACACCCACUCCCCGAAAUGAUGUCCCAGUGAAGAGCCAGGCUCUUAUCCUUCCAUCCAUGCCUCUCAGGCGUCUGCUUCAUUUAGCAUGUAUGUGCAUUUUACCAGGUUAAUGCAACACAGACUAUUUCCUAGUAGCUGUGAAGCCCAGUGUAGCCUCUGCUGCCGGACACAUGGUUUGUCUCCAGUCUUUCCCUUCCCAGCAAAGCAGCCUUGACUCAUCUCCUUUCUCUAUGACAGAGCCCUUUAGAAUGUACUCACUGGGCCAACGAUGCAGUUUCAAUUUGGGUUUUUAAUGGAAGUGGGUGGCUAGGUAAGUGGGUUGAAUGACUGACUGAUUCUGAAUAGCUCUGAAUUUAUUGAGCUGCUUCCAGGAAGGUCCAGGUGACCUGGGUAGCAGAAAGGACACCCAUUCCUGUUUGAUGGUGUUUUUUUUCUAUCUAUCAUCCUUCCUGUCUUUCCUUCUUUAUUUCUUUCUGGGUGAGACAGGGUCUUAUAAUACAGUUUCAGCCAGCCUGGAACUCAUUAUGUAAACCAGGCUGGUCUCCAGCUCAUGGAGAUGAGCCUGCCUUUGCUUCCCAUGUACUGAAAUUAAAGCCCAGCUUGUUUUUUUCUCUUUACCACACUGGGGAUUCAACCCAAGGCUAGUAAGCACCCUGGCACUGAGUAUAUUCUGGACCUCUUCUUAUUUUAAUGUUGAUGUAGGGUCCUGCUAAGUUUCCCAGACUGACCUUCAACUCACUAUGCAAGUCCAGGCAGGCCUUGAACUCACGAUCCUCCUGGUUCAGCUUCCUGAGCUGAUGAGUGGCAGGCACCAUUAGUCUCAUUCGGAAGGAUGUGCUUCAUCCUUGGUGAAAGCGCUCAUCUCUUGUCUUGGCUGGCUAGAAUUUCCAGGGUGAAGAAAGGAGGAUUAGAAAAGUUCAAGGUCACCCUCCCCUACAUAGAGAGUUCAAGGCCAGGCUGGGCCACAUGAGAAAAACCAAAAGAACAGAUGGUGUUAGCAGGAGGUAGGGAAGGAGUAGGGAGGUCCAGCCCUGGGUGGGGCAGAGCCCCUGCUAAAGACAAGGGACAUUCCUUAGUGUCAACUUUCCCUUAGGAUGGAGAGGAGGGGUUGCUAGCUCGUCACACCCCACAGCCCUGGAGGACAGGAGCUUACUGUUGAGUUAGUGGGGCAGAGUCGGGGAGAGGCUGUCAUUUCGGCAGCCCUGGUACAUGGAGCCACUAGCAGGCUUCUUCGUCUCAUGUCUUCAUCCGCACCACCUCCUAGCAGCCUGCCCUCCCCAACUUGUCCACUUAAAGCCUGGGCCAGUGAGAUGACUCUGCAGAUAAAGGUAUUGUCACCCAGCCUGAGGACCUGAGUUCAAUUUCUGGGUUCCAUAUGAUGGAAGGAGAGAACUGAGUCCCUUAACUUGAUCUCUAACCUGCACAUGUGGAUUGUGAAUGGGCUUAUGUGCCCACACACCCUCUCUCUCACACAAUAAACAUAAGUAAUAAAUGUAUACAUGCAUAUACACAUACAUAAUACACACAUACAUACAUGCUUGAAUGCAUACAUACGUUCGUAUGUAUGUCCUUGCCACUCUCUUGGAACCUGACUCCUACAGAAUGUAACCUUGAUUUGUGCUCCAGGCUCACUUGACACCUGGCUUCUGUGGCUUGUUCGAGUCCUCUGUCUCCCAGACAAUGAGCUAGGAUUCUGGUCAUUCAGGUUCAGCCUGGGUGCAGAGAGUUUUGAGUGGGCCUGUCCACUGGAGACCACUCCUCUCGUCACCCAUGAAGCAUCUAAAGUUAAGUAUGAUGGUGCAGACCUGGAAUCCCAGAAUUCAGGAGGUGGGGGCAGGGAUUUCUAAACUCAGAAGUCAGCCUGAGCUAUCUAGAGAGAUGCUGUUUCAAAAAUUUAAAACAGCCGGGUGUGGUGGCACACGCCUUUAAUCCCAGCACUCGGGAGGCAGAGGUAGGCGGAUUUCUGAGUUCGAGGCCAGCCUGGUCUACAAAGUGAGUUCCAGGACAGCCAGGGAUAUACAGAGAAACCCUGUCUCGAAAAACCAAAAAUAAAAAAUAAAUAAAACAAAACCGAA
rnacentral:lncRNA from 1 species